UACAGAGGGUGCGAGCGUUAAUCGGAAUUACUGGGCGUAAAGCGCGCGUAGGCGGCUUUGCAAGUCGGGUGUGAAAUCCCCAAGCUUAACUUGGGAACUGCAUUCGAGACUGCAUUGCUAGAGUAUGGGAGAGGGAAGUGGAGUUUCCGGUGUAGCGGUGAAAUGCGUAGAUAUCGGAAGGAACAUCAGUGGCGAAAGCGACUUCCUGGACCAAUACUGACGCUCAUGUGCGAAAGCGUGGGGAGCAAACAGG
rnacentral:rRNA from 1 species